CUGAGAAUUGAUGAUAUUGAAGAGCAAUUCUUAGACAGGCUAAACAUGACACAAUAAACACAAAAGAUUCCCCUGUGACUGAAUAAUUGAUGGACGGAAUAGAGGGAUAGAUAAAUUAGUAAAUUAAUCAUUGCUCUGAUCACACCUCAACCCCCCCACCAAUGCCUGGCCAUUUCCCCAAAAAUAAUUUUAAAACAAAACCGGUUGAAGACCCCUGCUCUAGGCUUUGGAUUAUCCGUUACUUUUGGUCCGUGAUGUAUAAAAGGUUGGAGACCCCUGCUCUAUAUGAAGCGUUUUGUCAAAUUACUUUGGAUGAUCAGUUACAACGUUUUUUUUACCUCUUCGGACAUCAGGGUUUGUUUCAGGCAUAUGCACAUGAGCAAAAACGCAACCUAUUUCCUUUGCAUUCAGAAAUGACAAGGCUUACAGAAAACCAUCCUGUCAACAGGUACUCCGUACAAUCAAAAUGGAUUUGAAGUGUUUAAAACAGUAGAAAAAAAUAGUGCCAGGAAAUCACAACCUGCACAAAGCUGGGCUAAAAAAACACCA